rnacentral:tRNA from 1 species
UGGCUCAGAUGGUAAAGCAUCUGCCUAUAACGCAGGAGACUCGGGUUCGAUCCCUGG